rnacentral:tRNA from 1 species
GCCGGGAUGGCAGAGCGGUAAUGCGCAAGCCUGGAAAGCUUGUGUCCGAAAGGACUCCUGAGUUCGAACGAAAGCCCUUUUUCUUUUUAGCGAAAAAUCCCAAAAAGAAAAACUGGAAGAUUUUUAUAUUUUAGUUUUUAUUUGGCGCUGACUGUGGAAAAGGGUUUUUAGGAAAUCUCAGUCCCGGCG